rfam:Schistosoma margrebowiei strain Zambia genome assembly, scaffold: SMRZ_scaffold0000412
AUCCAGAUGACGAGUUCCAAAUAGGACGGAAAGCGCGUUCUAGAU